rnacentral:rRNA from 1 species
GAGAACCCCGUGAAGCCUUGGCUUGCCGCAAUGUGAUCGCUUUCAAAGAGUCGGGUUGUUUGGGAUUCAGCCCAAUCGGGAGGUAAAUUUCUUCUAAGCUAAUACUGGCGAGAGACCGAUAGCGAACAAGUCCGUGAGGGAAAGAUGAAAAGAACUUUGAAAAGAGAGUUAACAGUCCGUGAAAUUGUCAAAAGGGAAUGGCUUGAAACCAGUCAUGCUGUCUGGAAUUCAGCAGGCCACACCGGCCUGUCCACUUUCCAGAUGGCAGGUCAACGUCAGUUUUUCUUCGUGUCGAAAGGCCUUGGGAAGUAGCGAGCCUUCGGGCGCGUGUUUACCCCCUGGCACCUGGCAUGUGGGGAGGUAGCGAGCCUUCGGGCGCGUGUAUAGCCCCUGGCUCUGGCAURUGGGGGGACUGAGGCCGCAGGGCGCACUGGGUUAACCCGGUCAGGCGAAUACCUUUUGGCGGACUGCACGCAGGCCGUCAGAAGGCAUAAACCUUUGCCGGCUACACCUCUCCGUCCCUAGGACGUUGACGAAAUGGUUUUAAACCACCCGUCUUGAAACACGGACCAAGGAGUCUAACAUAUACGCGAGUAUUUGGGUGGAAACCCAUAUGCGAAAUGAAAGUGAUUCAGGUGGAUCCUCGGUGACCAUCGACCGGUCUGGAUAUUUUAAUUAUAGAUCUGAGUAAGAGCGUAUCUGUUGGGACCCGAAAGAUGGUGAACUAUGCCU